rnacentral:rRNA from 3 species
AUUUGGAGAGGAUGCUUUUGGCGCGGCGCCGUCCGAGUUCCUUGGAACAGGACGCCACAGAGGGUGAGAGCCCCGUACGGUCGGACGCCUAGCCUAUACAAAGCUCCUUCGACGAGUCGAGUAGUUUGGGAAUGCUGCUCAAAAUGGGAGGUAAAUUUCUUCUAAAGCUAAAUACCGGCCAGAGACCGAUAGCGCACAAGUAGAGUGAUCGAAAGAUGAAAAGCACUUUGAAAAGAGGGUUAAAAAGUACGUGAAAUUGUUGAAAGGGAAGCGCCUGUGACCAGACUUGCGCCCCGUGGACCAUCCGGCGUUCUCGCCGGUGCACUCUGCGGGGCGCAGGCCAGCAUCGGUUCUCCUAGGGGGAUAAAGGCCGCGGGAACGUAGCUCCUUCGGGAGUGUUAUAGCCCGUGGUGGCAUGCCCCUGGGGGGACCGAGGACCGCGCUUCGGCAAGGAUGCUGGCGUAAUGGUCACCAGCGACCCGUCUUGAAACACGGACCAAGGAGUCAAGCAUUGGGGCGAGUGUAUGGGUGCCAAACCCGCACGCGAAAUGAAAGUAAACGCAGGUGAGAGCUUCGGCGCAUCAUCGACCGAUCCUGAUGUCUUCGGAUGGAUUUGAGUAAGAGCCUUACCGCUUGGACCCGAAAGAUGGUGAACUAUGCCUGAAUAGGGUGAAGCCAGAGGAAACUCUGGUGGAGG